AUUGAACGCUGGCGGCAGGCCUAACACAUGCAAGUCGAACGCCGUGGGGACGGGUGAGUCACACGUGGGUAACCUCCCCAUCAGAGGGUAUAACACUUGGAAACAGGUGCUAAACCGAUAUUGCUGGAUGGACCCGCGGUGCAUUAGCUAGUUGGUGAGGUAACGGCUCACCAAGGCCACGAUGCAUAGACGACCUGAGAGGGUGAUCGGCCAAACUGGGACUGAGACACGGCCCAGACUCCUACGGGAGGCAGCAGUGGGGAAUAUUGCACAAUGGGCGCAAGCCUGAUGCAGCCAUGCCGCGUGUAGGAAGAAGGCCUUAGGGUUGUAAAGGACUUGCAGCGGGGAGGCGUUACCCGCAGAAGAAGCACCGGCUAACUCCGUGCCAGCAGCCGCGGUAAUAC
rnacentral:rRNA from 1 species